AGAAUCAACGCUGGCGGCGUGCCUAACACAUGCAAGUCGAACGAGAAAGUGGAGCAAUCCAUGAGUAAAGUGGCGCACGGGUGAGUAACACGUGACUAACCUACCUUUUAGUGGGGGAUAACCUAGGGAAACCUGGGCUAAUACCGCAUAAUACUUACGAGUCAAAGCAGCAAUGCGCUGAAAGAGGGGGUCGCGGUCGAUUAGUUAGUUGGCAGGGUAAUGGCCUACCAAGACUGUGAUCGAUA
rnacentral:rRNA from 1 species